CUCCACGAAGCUGGAUUCGCUAGUAAUCGCGCAUCAGCCACGGCGCGGUGAAUACGUUCCCGGGCCUUGUACACACCGCCCGUCAAGCCAUGGGAGCCGGGGGUACCUGAAGUGCGUAACCGCGAGGAGCGCCCUAGGGUAAAACUGGUGACUGGGGCUAAGUCGUAACAAGGUAGC
rnacentral:rRNA from 1 species